GGGUUGUGAGGUUAAGCGAACAAGCGUACACGGUGGAUGCCCUGGCAGUCAGAGGCGAUGAAGGACGUGCUAAUCUGCGAAAAGCGCCGGUAAGGUGAUAUGAACCGUUAUAACCGGCGAUGUCCGAAUGGGGAAACCCGGUGCACUUCGGUGCAUCAUCGUUAGCUGAAUACAUAGGCUAACGAGGCGAACCGGGGGAACUGAAACAUCUAAGUACCCCGAGGAAAAGAAAUCAACCGAGAUUCCCCCAGUAGCGGCGAGCGAACGGGGAACAGCCCAGAGCCUGAAUCAGCUUGUGUGUCAGUGGAACGGUCUGGAAAGGCCGGCGAUACAGGGUGACAGCCCCGUACANNNNNNNNNNNNNNNNNNNNNNNNNNNNNNNNNNNNNNNNNNNNNNNNNNNNNNNNNNNNNNNNNNNNNNNNNNNNNNNNNNNNNNNNNNNNNNNNNNNNNNGGGCGUUAAGUUGCAGGGUAUAGACCCGAAACCCGGUGAUCUAGCCAUGGGCAGGUUGAAGGUUGGGUAACACUAACUGGAGGACCGAACCGACUAAUGUUGAAAAAUUAGCGGAUGACCUGUGGCUGGGGGUGAAAGGCCAAUCAAACCGGGAGAUAGCUGGUUCUCCCCGAAAGCUAUUUAGGUAGCGCCUCGUGAACUCAUCUCCGGGGGUAGAGCACUGUUUCGGCUAGGGGGCCAUCCCGGCUUACCAACCCGAUGCAAACUGCGAAUACCGGAGAAUGUUAUCACGGGAGACACACGGCGGGUGCUAACGUCCGUCGUGAAGAGGGAAACAACCCAGACCGCCAGCUAAGGUCCCAAAGUCAUGGUUAAGUGGGAAACGAUGUGGGAAGGCCCAGACAGCCAGGAUGUUGGCUUAGAAGCAGCCAUCAUUUAAAGAAAGCGUAAUAGCUCACUGGUCGAGUCGGCCUGCGCGGAAGAUGUAACGGGGCUAAACCAUGCACCGAAGCUGCGGCAGCGACACUAUGUGUUGUUGGGUAGGGGAGCGUUCUGUAAGCCUGUGAAGGUGUGCUGUGAGGCAUGCUGGAGGUAUCAGAAGUGCGAAUGCUGACAUAAGUAACGAUAAAGCGGGUGAAAAGCCCGCUCGCCGGAAGACCAAGGGUUCCUGUCCAACGUUAAUCGGGGCAGGGUGAGUCGACCCCUAAGGCGAGGCCGAAAGGCGUAGUCGAUGGGAAACAGGUUAAUAUUCCUGUACUUGGUGUUACUGCGAAGGGGGGACGGAGAAGGCUAUGUCGGCCGGGCGACGGUUGUCCCGGUUUAAGCGUGUAGGCUGACUUUCCAGGCAAAUCCGGAGAGUUAAGGCUGAGGCGUGAUGACGAGGCACCACGGUGCUGAAGUGACAAAUGCCCUGCUUCCAGGAAAAGCCUCUAAGCAUCAGGUAACAUCAAAUCGUACCCCAAACCGACACAGGUGGUCAGGUAGAGAAUACCAAGGCGCUUGAGAGAACUCGGGUGAAGGAACUAGGCAAAAUGGUGCCGUAACUUCGGGAGAAGGCACGCUGACAUGUAGGUGAAGCCCCUGCGGGUGGAGCUGAAGUCAGUCGAAGAUACCAGCUGGCUGCAACUGUUUAUUAAAAACACAGCACUGUGCAAACACGAAAGUGGACGUAUACGGUGUGACGCCUGCCCGGUGCCGGAAGGUUAAUUGAUGGGGUUAUCGCAAGAGAAGCUCCUGAUCGAAGCCCCGGUAAACGGCGGCCGUAACUAUAACGGUCCUAAGGUAGCGAAAUUCCUUGUCGGGUAAGUUCCGACCUGCACGAAUGGCGUAAUGAUGGCCAGGCUGUCUCCACCCGAGACUCAGUGAAAUUGAACUCGCUGUGAAGAUGCAGUGUACCCGCGGCAAGACGGAAAGACCCCGUGAACCUUUACUACAGCUUGACACUGAACAUUGAGCCUUGAUGUGUAGGAUAGGUGGGAGGCUUUGAAGCGUGGACGCCAGUCUGCGUGGAGCCGACCUUGAAAUACCACCCUUUAAUGUUUGAUGUUCUAACCUGGCGCCGUAAUCCGGCGUGGGGACAGUGUCUGGUGGGUAGUUUGACUGGGGCGGUCUCCUCCCAAAGUGUAACGGAGGAGCACGAAGGUCAGCUAAUCCUGGUCGGACAUCAGGAGGUUAGUGCAAUGGCAUAAGCUGGCUUGACUGCGAGAGUGACGGCUCGAGCAGGUGCGAAAGCAGGUCAUAGUGAUCCGGUGGUUCUGUAUGGAAGGGCCAUCGCUCAACGGAUAAAAGGUACUCCGGGGAUAACAGGCUGAUACCGCCCAAGAGUUCAUAUCGACGGCGGUGUUUGGCACCUCGAUGUCGGCUCAUCACAUCCUGGGGCUGAAGUAGGUCCCAAGGGUAUGGCUGUUCGCCAUUUAAAGUGGUACGCGAGCUGGGUUUAGAACGUCGUGAGACAGUUCGGUCCCUAUCUGCCGUGGGCGCUGGAGAAUUGAGGGGGGCUGCUCCCAGUACGAGAGGACCGGAGUGGACGCAUCACUGGUGUUCGGGUUGUCAUGCCAAUGGCACUGCCCGGUAGCUAAAUGCGGAAGAGAUAAGUGCUGAAAGCAUCUAAGCACGAAACUUGCCCCGAGAUGAGUUCUCCCUGAGACUGUAAGUCUCCUGAAGGAACGUUGAAGACGACGACGUUGAUAGGCCGGGUGUGUAAGCGCAGCGAUGCGUUGAGCUAACCGGUACUAAUGAACCGUGAGGCUUAACCUUACAACGCCAAAGAAGU
rnacentral:rRNA from 1 species